rnacentral:rRNA from 1 species
UACGGAGGGUGCAAGCGUUGUCCGGAUUUAUUGGGUUUAAAGGGUGCGUAGGCGGCUUUUUAAGUCAGCGGUGAAAGACAACAGCUUAACUGUUGCAGUGCCAUUGAUACUGAAGAGCUUGAGUACAGAUGAGGUAGGCGGAAUUUAUGGUGUAGCGGUGAAAUGCAUAGAUACCAUAAAGAACACCUAUUGCGAAGGCAGCUUACUAGCUGUAACUGACGCUGAGGCACGAAAGUGUGGGGAUCAAACAGGG